rnacentral:rRNA from 1 species
ACGGAAGGCAGCAGUGGGGAAUAUUGCACAAUGGGGGAAACCCUGAUGCAGCGACGCCGCGUGAGCGAAGAAGUAUUUCGGUAUGUAAAGCUCUAUCAGCAGGGAAGAAAAAAUGACGGUACCUGACUAAGAAGCACCGGCUAAAUACGUGCCAGCAGCCGCGGUAAUACGUAUGGUGCAAGCGUUAUCCGGAUUUACUGGGUGUAAAGGGAGCGCAGGCGGACGGCUAAGUCUGAUGUGAAAUCCCAGGGCUCAACCCUGGAACUGCAUUGGAAACUGGUCAUCUAGAGUAUCGGAGAGGUAAGUGGAAUUCCUAGUGUAGCGGUGAAAUGCGUAGAUAUUAGGAGGAACACCAGUGGCGAAGGCGGCUUACUGGACGAUAACUGACGCUGAGGCUCGAAAGCGUGGGGAGCAAACAGGAUUAGAUACCCUGGUA